UACGUAGGGGGCAAGCGUUGUCCGGAUUUAUUGGGCGUAAAGAGCGUGUAGGCGGCCAGGUAGGUCUGCUGUGAAAACUCGAGGCUCAACCUCGAGACGUCGGCGGAAACCAUCUGGCUAGAGUCCGGAAGAGGAGAGUGGAAUUCCUGGUGUAGCGGUGAAAUGCGCAGAUAUCAGGAAGAACACCCGUGGCGAAGGCGGCUCUCGUGGGACGGUACUGACGCUGAGACGCGAAAGCGUGGGGAGCGAACAGG
rnacentral:rRNA from 1 species